GGGUCCGGACACACUGAGGAUUGACAGGCAAUAUUAAUACGUUUUGCUUCGGUAAACGCGUAUUAUGUUAAAUAUGCUAGUCCUUUCAUGAUUAUGUGAUAGGUGGUGCAUGGCCGUUCUUAGUUCGUGGAGUGAUCUGUCUGCUUAAUUGCGUUUCACUAAGGGCCUAUAAAUUUACGUGUGUUGCAUCGAACUUUGACCCCUUUCUUUAAUUAGAGAGCGCGUGUCUUAGUUUUCGCUUUGCUCAUACAAUUAGGUCCUGAAAGCAACGAACGUGACCGCAACCUCUUGUUGCCUUUAUACCAAACAUGUUUUGCGUCAAUUUUUACGAAUUGCGCGCAUUUCAUGAAAAAAGGCUUUUUAAACUAGAGGGACCGCUGUUACUUUCUUAAACCAGAGGAAGGUUGCGGCAAUAACAGGUCUGUGAUGCCCUUAGAUGUUCCGGGCUGCACACGUGCUACAAUGAUUAUUGCAGUGAGCAUCUCAUUUUUACACACCGCAUGCGCGAGUCCAUUUAUUCACCUUCGGGUGUUUUAAAUGUGUAUCUCUGCGCGCGGUAAAGCCUGCUUCGACAGUAAGUGGGU
rnacentral:rRNA from 1 species